UUCGGUUGAUCCCGCCGGAGGUCAUUGCUAUCCAGAUCCGAUUAAGCUAUGCGAGCCGUGAGGGGUAAGCCCUCGGCGAACUGCUCCGUAAUACGCAGAUAAUCUACCCUUGGGAGGGGGAUAAUCGCGGGAAACUGCGGCUAAUACCCCAUAGGCAUGGGUGGCUGGGAUGCGCCCACGCCCAAAGCUCAGGCGCCCAAGGAUGGGUCUGCGCCCCAUCAGGCUGUUGUUGGUGUAACGAACCAACAAACCGAUAACGGGUACGGGCUAUGGAAGUAGGAGCCCGGAGAUGGAUUCUGAGACAUGAAUCCAGGCACUACGGUGCGCAGCAAGCGCGAAACCUUUACAAUGCAUUCACGUGUGAUAGGGGGGCCUGGAGUGCUGCAGCUUCUGUAGCUUUUGCCGACUGUAAAGAGGUCGGCGAAUAAGGGCUGGGUAAUACGAGUGCCAGCCGCCGCGGUAAUACUCGAGGCCCGAGUGAUGACCACUAUUAUUGGGUCUAAAGCGCCCGUAGCCGGCUCGGCGAGUCCCUGGUGAAAUCCUCCAGCAAACUGGAGGGCGUGCCGGGGAUACUGCCGGACUUGAGACCGGGAGAGGGUGGAGGUACUUACAGGGGAGGGGUUAAAUCCUGUAAUCCUGUAGGGACAACCUGUGGCGAAGGCGUCCACCUGGAACGGGUCUGACGGUGAGGGACGAAAGCGUGGGUAGCGAUCGGGAUUAGAUACCCCGGUAGUCCACGCUGUAAACGAUGCCCGUUUGGUGUCGCAAACUUCUUGGGAGUUUGCGGUGCCGGAGCGUAGGUGUUAAACGGGCCACCUGGGGAGUACGUCCGCAAGGAUGAAACUUAAGGGAAUUGGCGGGGGAGCACACAAGGGGUGGGUACUGCGGUUUAAAUGGAGUCAACGCCGG
rnacentral:rRNA from 1 species